rnacentral:misc_RNA from 1 species
CUCCGAUUCUCGUACAUGUCUCAGCUUCUCCAGUCGGUGGUUAGAGAGUAGUUCAUGUGUGGCUAUCUUGCGCGAUUGACGCCAGUAGGUGCCGUAUGGGCUAAACCCAAACACGGCACGAUCAUAGGCCAAAAGGUCCAUGGCUAGAGUUUGGACGAUUAGCGAAAGCUUGAUCGUUGAUGGUUAGACAUUCCUUGGCAAUCUCCCAGUUGCUCACUACCAAAGCUCGAUACAUGCCCAUCUUGAUAGUGAAGAUCGGACCGUAUUUGCCAGCCAUGUUGUCCAAUACUUU